CUGCAGAUGUUGAAAAUGGCUUCCAGUCCUUUGGUGAUUCCAGGAAUCCCAGCAGGCAGAGGAGAGGCUGAAGACUUCGCAUUCAUUCCUAAUCACAUCACCUGCCACGUGUGUAUACUUUCCCCAAGAAUCCUAAU